UCUUAUAAAGUUCUCAAACGUGUCUGUUGGUUCUGAUGAGCUGGUCCAGGCUAUCUGCAGCAUAUGGCAGCCAACACUACUUCCUUGUCAGCCCGUCGCCCUUAGGAUGCCUUCUCAGCUGCCACACAGACUAAUGAGGUCACAGAAGACUAGUUUCAGGUAACCAGGAUCCAUUAGGCUUCCAGUCCCGGUCUCUUGGAGAAGGUGCACACUCCGCGACUGCAGGACAGCCUGUGAGAACACUGCAAAUUAGAGCCCCCAAGAGAAGAAGAGACUGAGGUCCAUCUGGAUGUCACUGUAGCCAUACCUCAGAUGCUCCAAACAUUCAGUGUGAGAGUCACCGUCGGGAAAGGCUCAUAAGCAAAUGUCAGAGCUCUCCAGAGUCCCUAGCAAGUGACAAGAAUUUACCCUGUCAGUCUCUCAGCAGAGCCAGUUUCAAGGCUUCAGUAGUGCUGGCAAGCACCCAACGCCUCAGCUACAUCCCCAGCCCCUAAUGAGCACUACUGUUCCUUAGACUGCAUCUCCACAGUGUCCUUCUUCAGGAACUAUUGAUUGGAUCCAUCCUUCAAACUGGGAAACUGAGAGUCCUGGGAUUGCAAGUAUACAGCACUGUGCCAAGUCUUUGCCGUGUUGAGGGCUGAGUCCA